rnacentral:rRNA from 1 species
GAUGAACGCUGGCGGCGUGCCUAAUACAUGCAAGUCGAGCGAACAGACGAGGAGCUUGCUCCUCUGACGGUAGCGGCGGACGGGUGAGUAACACGUGGAUAACCUACUUAUAAGUCUGGGAUAACUUCGGGGAACCGGAGCUAAUACCGGCUCAUAUAUUGAACCGCAUGGUGCAAUAGUGAAAGACGGCUUUGCUGUCACUUAUAGAUGGAUCCGCGCCGCAUUAGCUAGUUGGUAAGGUAACGGCUUACCAAGGCAACGAUGCGUAGCCGACCUGAGAGGGUGAUCGGCCACACUGGAACUGAGACACGGUCCAGACUCCUACGGGAGGCAGCAGUAGGGAAUCUUCCGCAAUGGGCGAAAGCUUGACGGAGCAACGCCGCGUGAGUGAUGAAGGUCUUCGGAUCGUAAAACCCUGUUAUUAGGGAAGAACAAAUGUGUAAGUAACUCUGCACGUCUUGACGGUACCUAAUCAGAAAGCCACGGCUAACUACGUG